rnacentral:rRNA from 1 species
AUUGAACGCUGGCGGCAGGCUUAACACAUGCAAGUCGAGCGGGGGAAGGUAGCUUGCUACUGGACCUAGCGGCGGACGGGUGAGUAAUGCUUAGGAAUCUGCCUAUUAGUGGGGGACAACAUCUCGAAAGGGAUGCUAAUACCGCAUACGUCCUACGGGAGAAAGCAGGGGAUCUUCGGACCUUGCGCUAAUAGAUGAGCCUAAGUCGGAUUAGCUAGUUGGUGGGGUAAAGGCAUACCAAGGCGACGAUCUGUAGCGGGUCUGAGAGGAUGAUCCGCCACACUGGGACUGAGACACGGCCCAGACUCCUACGGGAGGCAGCAAGGGGGAAUAUUUGACAAUGGGGGGAACCCUGAUCCAGCCAUGCCGCGUGUGUGAAGAAGGCCUUAUGGUUGUAAAGCACUUUAAGCGAGGAGGAGGCUACUUUAGUUAAUACCUAGAGAUAGUGGACGUUACUCGCAGAAUAAGCACCGGCUAACUCUGUGCCAGCCGCCGCCGUAA